UACGUAGGGUGCAAGCGUUGUCCGGAAUUAUUGGGCGUAAAGAGCUCGUAGGCGGUUUGUCGCGUCUGCUGUGAAAACUCGGGGCUCAACUCCGAGCUUGCAGUGGGUACGGGCAGACUAGAGUGCGGUAGGGGAGACUGGAAUUCCUGGUGUAGCGGUGGAAUGCGCAGAUAUCAGGAGGAACACCGGUGGCGAAGGCGGGUCUCUGGACCGUAACUGACGCUGAGGAGCGAAAGCAUGGGGAGCGAACAGG
rnacentral:rRNA from 1 species